GCCACCCCACCCCGGAAUCCAUAAUCACCCAUCGUCGACCACCAGCAUUCACCACCACCAACAGUUACCAUCGGCAUUACUGUUAACUGUGGAUAACGCCACUUCUUCAGCCCAAUCACUCUUGUUCGGUCUGAUAUUUAGUUGAGGGUUUGUAUGUAACGUGAUUUUCCCCUCAGAAAUAGACGUCGCACCAGAAUUAUUAUUGCACAAAAUUUUUAUUCUCCACCUCAACCAC
rnacentral:lncRNA from 1 species